UGUGAUGAGCGAAAAGAAUUGGCGUCAGAGUUACUGUUCUGCGUGAGGGAUCGACUGAAGGUUCAAAGGCUUGACUCCCCUGCACGAUGCUGCCUCUGGGGGUCAUAAGGCUGUGGUGGACGUCCUCCUGGCGGGGGACGGCGACCCCAACGACAGAGACUGGAGAA